AGGACGAACGCUGGCGGCGUGCUUAACACAUGCAAGUCGAGCGGAAAGGCCCUUCGGGGUACUCGAGCGGCGAACGGGUGAGUAACACGUGAGCAACCUGCCCUUAGCUCUGGGAUAGCUCCGGGAAACCGGAAUUAAUACCGGAUAUGACCUAGGCCGACAUCGGCCGUGGUGGAAAGUUUUUCGGCUAGGGAUGGACUCGCGGCCUAUCAGCUAGUUGGUGGGGUAAUGGCCUACCAAGGCGACGACGGGUAGCCGGCCUGAGAGGGCGACCGGCCACACUGGGACUGAGACACGGCCCAGACUCCUACGGGAGGCAGCAGUGGGGAAUCUUGCGCAAUGGGCGAAAGCCUGACGCAGCGACGCCGCGUGGGGGAUGAAGGCCUUCGGGUUGUAAACCCUUUCAGCAGGGACGAAGCGAAAGUGACGGUACCUGCAGAAGAAGCGCCGGCUAACUACGUGCCAGCAGCCGC
rnacentral:rRNA from 1 species